rnacentral:rRNA from 1 species
GAUGAACGCUAGCGGCAGGCAUAAUACAUGCAAGACGAACGGUAAGCUUUGUAGCAAUACGGAGCCUAGAGUGUCGUACGGGUGCGUAACACGUAUGCAACCUACCUUUUACAGGAGUAUAGCUCCCCGAAAGGGGAAUUAACCCUCCAUAAUAUCAUUGGAUGGCAUCAUUUGAUGAUUAAAACUGAGGUGGUAAAAGAUGGGCAUGCGUCUGAUUAGUUAGUUGGCAGUGUAACGGACUACCAAGACGAUGAUCAGUAGGGGACCUGAGAGGGUGAUCCCCCACACUGGCACUGAGACACGGACCAGACUCCUACGGGAGGCAGCAGUAAGGAAUAUUGGUCAAUGGACGGAAGUCUGAACCAGCCAUGCCGCGUGCAGGAAGACGGCCCUACGGGUUGUAAACUGCUUUUAUUCGGGAAUAAAUCUUUCUACGUGUAGGGAGUUGAAUGUACUGAAAGAAUAAGGAUCGGCUAACUCCGUGCCAGCAGCC